rnacentral:rRNA from 1 species
UACGGGGGGGGGCAAGCGUUGUUCGGAAUCACUGGGCUUAAAGGGCGCGUAGGCGGGUGCUCAAGUCCGGGGUGAAAUCCUCCAGCUCAACUGGAGAACUGCCUCGGAUACUGGGUGUCUCGAGGGUGGUAGGGGUAUGCGGAACUAUCGGUGGAGCGGUGAAAUGCGUUGAUAUCGAUAGGAACUCCGGUGGCGAAGGCGGCAUACUGGACCACAUCUGACGCUGAGGCGCGAAAGCCAGGGGAGCAAACGGGG